CGGAUCAGGUAGGGAUACCCGCUGAACUUAAGCAUAUCAA
rnacentral:rRNA from 1 species